rnacentral:rRNA from 1 species
GACGAACGCUGGCGGCGUGCUUAACACAUGCAAGUCGAGCGAUGAAACACCUUCGGGUGCGGAUUAGCGGCGAACGGGUGAGGAACACGUGAGGAAUCUGCCUUCCACUCUGGGAUAACUCCGGGAAACCGGGGCUAAUACCGGAUACUUUCAACUGGCGGCAUCGCCGGUUGAAGAAAGUUUUUCGGUGGAAGAUGACCUCGCGGCCUAUCAGCUUGUUGGUGAGGUAAAGGCGCACCAAGGCGACGACGGGUAGCCGGCCUGAGAGGGCGACCGGCCACACUGGGACUGAGACACGGCCCAGACUCCUACGGGAGGCAGCAGUGGGGAAUAUUGGGCAAUGGAGGAAACUCUGACCCAGCGACGCCGCGUGAGGGAUGAAGGCCUUCGGGUUGUAAACCUCUUUCAGCACCGACGAAGCGCAAGUGACGGUAGGUGCAGAAGAAGGACCGGCCAACUACGUGCCAGCAGCCGCUGUAA